UACGUAGGGUCCGAGCGUUGUCCGGAAUUAUUGGGCGUAAAGGGCUCGUAGGCGGUUCGUCACGUCGGGAGUGAAAACUCGGGGCUCAACCCCGAGCCUGCUUUCGAUACGGGCGGACUAGAGGUAGGUAGGGGAGAACGGAAUUCCUGGUGUAGCGGUGGAAUGCGCAGAUAUCAGGAGGAACACCGGUGGCGAAGGCGGCUUGCUGGGCCAGUUCUGACGCUGAGGAGCGAAAGCGUGGGGAGCGAACAGG
rnacentral:rRNA from 1 species